UGGGGAAUCUUGGACAAUGGGGGCAACCCUGAUCCAGCCAUGCCGCGUGAGUGAUGAAGGCCUUAGGGUCGUAAAGCUCUUUCGCCUGUGAAGAUAAUGACGGUAGCAGGUAAAGAAACCCCGGCUAACUCCGUGCCAGCAGCCGCGGUAAUACGGAGGGGGUUAGCGUUGUUCGGAUUUACUGGGCGUAAAGGGCGUGUAGGCGGCUUGAUAGGUCAAAGGUGAAAGCCCUCGGCUCAACCGAGGAACUGCCUUUGAAACCAUCUAGCUCGAGGCCGGGAGGGGGUAGCGGAAUUCCUGGUGUAGCGGUGAAAUGCGUAGAUAUUUGGAGGAACACCAGUGGCGAAGGCGGCUCACUGGCUCGAUACUGACGCUGAGGUGCGAAAGUGUGGGGAGCAAACAGGAUUAGAUACCCUGGUAGUCCACACCGUAAACGAUGAAUGCCAGUCGUCGGGUAGCAUGCUAUUCGGUGACACACCUAACGGAUUAAGCAUUCCGCCUGGGGAGUACGGUCGC
rnacentral:rRNA from 1 species